rnacentral:rRNA from 1 species
UACGUAGGGUGCAAGCGUUGUCCGGAAUUAUUGGGCGUAAAGAGCUCGUAGGCGGUCUGUCGCGUCUGCUGUGAAAACUCAGGGCUUAACCCUGAGCUUGCAGUGGGUACGGGCAGACUAGAGUGCGGUAGGGGGAGACUGGAAUUCCUGGUGUAGCGGUGAAAUGCGCAGAUAUCAGGAGGAACACCGGUGGCGAAGGCGGGGUCUCUGGGCCGUAACUGACGCUG